UUCCUGCUCUGGUAGGACAUAGACUAAAAUUGGAAUGAUGAAGUGUGACCCCUGCUCAAGGAUGACAUGCAAGUUUGUGAGGCGUGCUGUAUUUGC
rnacentral:snRNA from 1 species